GUACCUCUGGGAUUAACCGGUCUCGCAUAUGUGAUCUCCAUCCUCUUCACUUUGUCAGCUAAUGUAGUUCCAUUUUUAGCUGAUCAUUAAAGAUGGGACAUUU
rnacentral:snoRNA from 1 species